UUAGCCUACGGGACGCAGCAGUGAGGAAUAUUGGUCAAUGGGAGAGAUCCUGAACCAGCCAAGCCGCGUGAGGGAAGACGGUCCUAUGGAUUGUAAACCUCUUUUGUCGGGGAGCAAGGCCCGCCACGUGUGGCGGGAAGGAGAGUACCCGAAGAAAAAGCAUCGGCUAACUCCGUGCCAGCAGCCGCGGUAAUACGGAGGAUGCGAGCGUUAUCCGGAUUUAUUGGGUUUAAAGGGUGCGUAGGCGGGAGGUUAAGUCAGCGGGCAAAUGUCGGGGGUCCACACCGGGCUGCCGGUUGAACUGG
rnacentral:rRNA from 1 species